CCUACGGGAGGCAGCAGUGGGGAAUAUUGGACAAUGGGGGGAACCCUGAUCCAGCCAUGCCGCGUGUGUGAAGAAGGCCCUCGGGUUGUAAAGCACUUUCAGUGAGGAAGAACGCCUGGUGGUUAAUACCCAUCAGGAAAGACAUCACUCACAGAAGAAGCACCGGCUAACUCCGUGCCAGCAGCCGCGGUAAUACGGAGGGUGCGAGCGUUAAUCGGAAUUACUGGGCGUAAAGCGCGCGUAGGAGGCUUGAUAAGCCGGUUGUGAAAGCCCCGGGCUCAACCUGGGAACGGCAUCCGGAACUGUCAAGCUAGAGUGCAGGAGAGGAAGGUAGAAUUCCCGGUGUAGCGGUGAAAUGCGUAGAGAUCGGGAGGAAUACCAGUGGCGAAGGCGGCCUUCUGGACUGACACUGACACUGAGGUGCGAAAGCGUGGGUAGCAAACAGGAUUAGAUACCCUUGUAGUC
rnacentral:rRNA from 1 species